CUUCUGAUUUGAGAAAAUAAGGAAGAACUUCGUCGUAACUCCAACCAGUGUUACCUAUUUCUGCCCAAUUGUCGUAAUCCUUUCUAAAAUAUAAUUAAUCGAUAUUGAUCAUUGCAUUUAAUACGCUGGAACCACCGAGAACUUUUCCACGUGGCCAAUUACAUCUGCCUUCUUUCAUCGCGAGACAAUAAGCCGAUGAAUUUGACGGAAUAGUUUUAUAUUUCCAAUCUAAUUCUGUUAACGAAAUAUACCUCGGACAAUCUUGAGGCAACUACUGCUCCUGCACUUCCACCACCAACAACGAUGAAAUCGUAUGUUCGAUUUAGCUUGAAAAUUCAUUAUCAAAAAUAACGUUACUAUUUUCUUUUAUUUUUUUAGUAAAAUAAGAAAAAAAGAUUAUUAAAUUUUUAAUAUUAAUAAUUAUUUAAUUAAAUACCUUAGGAGUAUUUAUCGAACAACAUUUAUAAUCCAUUUUGUUGUACAUUUUGAAUAAUUUGUUAAUGUCUACAAAUGGAAUAUAGCCGAUCGCUACGGCGAACAUUAUAAUUAAAGGAACCGAAUGCAUUGUAAUUUGUAUUUUUUUUACAAAUUAUUAUUAUAUAUCUUUUAUAUAUACACCGUUAUAUAUAUACGCAUUAAUGGAUCCUUCAUCUAUUUGUCUAAUCCUAGCGUAUUUUGUAUUUUUCAAAUUACGGAAUAUUAAAAAAUAUUGAACGAAGAAAAAA
rnacentral:lncRNA from 1 species